AACGAACGCUGGCGGCAGGCUUAACACAUGCAAGUCGAGCGCCCCGCAAGGGGAGCGGCAGACGGGUGAGUAACGCGUGGGAAUCUACCCAUCUCUACGGAAUAACGCAUGGAAACGUGUGCUAAUACCGUAUACGUCCUUCGGGAGAAAGAUUUAUCGGAGAUGGAUGAGCCCGCGUUGGAUUAGCUAGUUGGAGGGGUAAAGGCCUACCAAGGCGACGAUCAAUAGCUGGUCUGAGAGGAUGAUCAGCCACACUGGGACUGGGACACGGCCCAGACUCCUACGGGAGGCAGCAGUGGGGAAUAUUGGACAAUGGGCGGAAGCCUGAUCCAGCCAGGCCGCGUGAGUGAUGAAGGCCCUAGGGUUGUAAAGCUCUUUCACCGGUGAAGAUAAUGACGGUAACCGGAGAAGAAGCCCCGGCUAACUUCGUGCCAGCAGCCGCCGUAAUAC
rnacentral:rRNA from 1 species